rnacentral:rRNA from 1 species
CCCGCUGAACUUAAGCAUAUCAAUAAGCGGAGGAAAAGAAACUAACAAGGAUUCCCCUAGUAACUGCGAGUGAAGCGGGAAAAGCUCAAAUUUGAAAUCUGGCGGUCUCUGGCCGUCCGAGUUGUAAUUUAGAGAAGCGUCUUCCGCGCCGGACCGUGCACAAGUCUCCUGGAAUGGAGCGUCAUAGAGGGUGAGAAUCCCGUCUUUGGCACGGAUCCCUGUGCUUCUGUGAUGCGCUCUCAAAGAGUCGAGUUGUUUGGGAAUGCAGCUCAAAAUGGGUGGUGAACUCCAUCUAAAGCUAAAUAUUGGCGAGAGACCGAUAGCGAACAAGUACCGUGAGGGAAAGAUGAAAAGCACUUUGGAAAGAGAGUGAAACAGUACGUGAAAUUGUUGAAAGGGAAACGCUUGAAGUCAGUCGCGUCGACCGAGACUCAGCCUUGCCUCGGCUUGGUGUACUUCUCGGCUCGACGGGUCAGCAUCAAUUUUGCCCCUCGGAUAAUGGCAAGGGAAAGGUGGCACCUUUGCGGGUGUGUUAUAGUCUCCUGUCGCAUGCGAGGGGUGGGAUUGAGGAACUCAGCGCGCACCUCGGUGUCGGGGCUUCGGCCCACGUCACGCGCUUAGGAUGCUGGCGUAAUGGCUUUAAACGACCCGUCUUGAAACACGG